UUGAUCCUGGCUCACGAUGAACGCUAGCGGCAGGCUUAACACACGCUUUAAGAGGGGUAUAGUAGCAAUACUAGAGACCGGCGCACGCCUGUGUAACGCGUAUGCAAUCUACCUUUUGCAGAGGGAUAGCCCAGAGAAGUUUGGAUUAAUACCUCAUAGUAUGUUUGAAUGGCAUCAUUUAAACAUUAAAGUCACAACGGCAAAAGAUGAGCAUGCGUCCCAUUAGCUAGUUGGUAAGGUAACGGCUUACCAAGGCAACGAUGGGUAGGGGUCCUGAGAGGGAGAUCCCCCACACUGGUACUGAGACACGGACCAGACUCCUACGGGAGGCAGCAGUGAGGAAUAUUGGACAAUGGGCGCAAGCCUGAUCCAGCCAUGCCGCGUGCAGGAUGACGGUCCUAUGGAUUGUAAACUGCUUUUGUACAGGAAGAAACACCCCGACGUGUCGGGGCUUGACGGUACUGUAAGAAUAAGGAUCGGCUAACUCCGUGCCAGCAGCCGCGGUAAUACGGAGGAUCCAAGCGUUAUCCGGAAUCAUUGGGUUUAAAGGGUCCGUAGGCGGCUUUAUAAGUCAGUGGUGAAAUCUCCCCGCUCAACGGGGAAACGGCCAUUGAUACUGUAAGGCUUGAAUUAUUAGGAAGUAACUAGAAUAUGUAGUGUAGCGGUGAAAUGCUUAGAGAUUACAUGGAAUACCAAUUGCGAAGGCAGGUUACUACUAAUGGAUUGACGCUGAUGGACGAAAGCGUGGGUAGCGAACAGGAUUAGAUACCCUGGUAGUCCACGCCGUAAACGAUGGAUACUAGCUGUUGGGAGCAAUCUCAGUGGCUAAGCGAAAGUGAUAAGUAUCCCACCUGGGGAGUACGUUCGCAAAGAUGAAACUCAAAGGAAUUGACGGGGGCCCGCCCAGCGGUGGAGCAUGUGG
rnacentral:rRNA from 1 species